rfam:Musa acuminata subsp. malaccensis Doubled-haploid Pahang (DH-Pahang) genomic chromosome, chr8
GAAGGAAGGUAGCAUGGUAGGGUGCACAGAGAGGAAAGAACGGGUCAUCAUGUCUGCUCUCGUUGACGCCUUCGGGCAUUGAUCCUGCGGGCCUGGAUUCGACCCACAACC